rnacentral:rRNA from 1 species
GAUGAACGCUGGCGGCGUGCCUAAUACAUGCCAGUCGAGCGAACAGACGAGGAGCUUGCUCCUCUGACGUUAGCGGCGGACGGGUGAGUAACACGUGGAUAACCUACCUAUAAGACUGGGAUAACUUCGGGAACCCGGAGCUAAUACCGGAUAAUAUAUUGAACCGCAUGGUUCAAUAGUGAAAGCCGUUUUUGCUGUCACUUAUAGAUGGAUCCGCGCCGCAUUAGCUAGUUGGUAAGGUAACGGCUUACCAAGGCGACGAUGCGUAGCCGACCUGUGAGGGUGAUCGGCCACACUGGAACUGAGACACGGUCCAGACUCCUACGGGAGGCAGCAGUAGGGAAUCUUCCGCAAUGGGCGAAAGCCUGACGGAGCAACGCCGCGUGAGUGAUGAAGGUCUUCGGAUCGUAAAACUCUGUUAUUAGGGAAGAACAAAUGUGUAAGUAACUAUGCACGUCUUGACGGUACCUAAUCAGAAAGCCACGGCUAACUACGU